rnacentral:rRNA from 1 species
AAAGUUUGACCUGCCCAUUGGGGACUGAAAGGCCGCGGUAUUUUGACCGUGCGAAGGUAGCAUAAUCAUUAGUCUUUUAAUUGAAGGCUGGAAUGAAUGGUUGGACGAGAAGGAAGCUGUCUCUAUCUCGAAGAUUGAAUUUAACUUUUAAGUGAAAAGGCUUAAAUGAGUUAGAGGGACGAUAAGACCCUAUAAAGUUUAUACAUGUAGUUGGUUAAGAGUGAUUUAAGGUGUUAAAGUUUAUUACCAGCAGGGUGUUUAGUUGGGGCGACUAGGAUAUAAAUUAUAUAACUGUUUUCUGUUUAAAUCAGAGAUAUUUGUUCGUAUGAUCCUUUUUUAGGAUUAGAGAGUAAAUUACUUUAGGGAUAACAGCGUAAUUUUUUUAAAGAGUUCUUAUCGACAAAAGAGUUUGCGACCUCGAUGUUGAAUUAAAAAUUUCUCUGUGGUGUAGUAGUUACAGAAGAAGGUCUGUUCGACCUUUAAAUUUUU